CUCUUUAGUUUAAAAGCUGAAGUAGUGCCUGCUCACUGGAAACAAUUCUUAAUAGCCGCAGUAUACUAACUGUGCUAAGGUAGCAUAAUCAUUUGUUAUUUAAUUGAUAACUAGUAUAAACGGCUUGACGAAAAAAUAACUUUCUUAUUCAGUAAACUGAAAUUAAGAGUAAGGUUAAAACUCCUUAAUAUUUUAGAGGGACGAUAAGACCCUAGGAUCUUACAUUUAAAUGUAACGCUGGGGCGGCGAUAUCAAAAACAAUUAUUAUAUCUACACAGUGAGUGAGCCAUAACAAACUUAUAUUAAAAAGAAAUUAGAUACCCUAGGGAUAACAGCGCUAUCUUUCUUUAGAGUUCUUAUCGACAGAAAGGAUUACGACCUCGAUGUUGAAUUGAAUAAAUCUUCAUAAAGCAACCAUUAUGGGAGAAGGUCUGUUCGACCUUUAAAUUUUC
rnacentral:rRNA from 1 species